UACAUAGGGACCAAGCGUUGUCCGGAUUUAUUGGGCGUAAAGGGCUCGUAGGCGGCGAGAUAAGUCAGAAUUAAAAGGCAGAAGCUUAACUUCUGUUCGGUUCUGGGACUGUCUUGCUUGAGAUUGGAAGAGGAAGAUGGAAUUAACAGUGUAGCGGUGAAAUGCGUAGAUAUUGUUAAGAACACCCGUGGCGAAGGCGGUCUUCUGGUCCAAAUCUGACGCUGAGGAGCGAAAGCGUGGGGAGCAAACAGGAUUAGAUACCCUGGUAGUCCACGCCGUAAACGAUGUACAUUAGGUAUGGGAGGUAUCGACCCCUUCUGUGCCGAAGCUAACGCGUUAAAUGUACCGCCUGGGGAGUACGUUCGCAAGAUUAAA
rnacentral:rRNA from 1 species